ACACAGGGACAUGGAGCUGGGACAGGGACCGAAUGUCACCCGGAGGUGUCACUCAGCGGUCACGGUGACAGAUGUGACGCUGGGACAGUGACACCAAUGUCACCUGGACGUCACCUAAGGACACGGAGAUGGCACAGGGACACCGAUGUCACCUGGAGGUGUCACACAGCUGGCACGGUGACAGAGAUGUGGCACAGGGACACGGAGCUGGGACAGUGACACGAGAUGUCACCUGGAUGUGGCACACAGAGCUGGCACAAGGACAUUGAUGUCACCUGAUGUCACCUGGAGCCGUCACCCGGAGCUGGCA
rnacentral:lncRNA from 1 species